UCUGGUGUCAUUUUGGCAUCCGAGUUGUWGUCUGUAGAGGAGUAUUCGAGUGUAGCUUUGGCUUAAGUUCCUUGGAACAGGACGUCAUAGAGGGUGAGAACCCCGUUAACGGCCUUUGUCUUAUGCUCAUGUGAAUCUCCUUCAACGAGUCGAGUUGUUUGGGAAUGCAGCUCUAAAUGGGUGGUAAAUUCCAUCUAAGGCUAAAUAUUGGCAAGAGACCGAUAGCGCACAAGUAGAGUGAUCGAAAGAUGAAAAGAACUCUGAACAGAGAGUUAAAUAGUACGUGAAAUUGUUGAAAGGGAAGCACUUGCGACCAGACGCACUUGCAGCUGAUCAACCUCCAUUCUUGGAGGUGCACUCAGUUGUUUGUGGGUCAGCAUCAGUUAUAGCGGUGGGAAAAAGACCAAGGGAAUGUGGCUCCUUUCGGGGAGUGUUAUAGCCCUUGGUGUAAUGCUGCCUGCUAUGACUGAGGACUGCGCUUCGGCGAGGAUGCUGGCAUAAUGGUCGUAAGUGACCCGUCUUGAAACACGGACCAAGGAGUCUAACAUCUAUGCGAGUGUUUUGGGUGUUCAAACCCUUGCGCGAAAUGAAAGUGAAUGGAGGUGGGAACCGCAAGGUGCACCAUCGACCGAUCCUGAUGUUUACGGAUGGAUUUGAGUAGGAGCAUAGCUGUUGGGACCCAAAGAUGGUGAACUAUGCCUGAAUAGGUGAAGCCAGA
rnacentral:rRNA from 1 species